CUUACCUACCCAAAUCCUAUAAAUUGCCCCACCCCUAUCUCCCUUUGCUGACUCUCUUUUCAGACUCAGCCCACCUGCACCCAGGUGAUUAAAAGCUUUAUUGCUCACACAAAGCCUGUUUGGUGGUCUCUUCACACGGACACACAUGAAAUUUGGUGCCGUGACUCGGAUCGGGGGUCCUCCCUUGGGAGAUCAAUCCCCUGUCCUCCUGUUCUUUGCUCCGUGAGAAAGAUCCACCUACGACCUCAGGUCCUCAGACCGACCAGCCCAACGAACAUCUCACCAAUUUUAAAUCAGGACCUACCAGUCUGCCCUGCUCAUACUUGAUCUGGAUGAGACUGAUACCCUGCGAGACGCAACAGAAUCAGCUCCUGGGAUUGUGUUAGCAGAAUGACGGGAGUGUGAGAUCCACCACAUGGCGAGGCACCCCAGGAACCUGUUUUCUUCUUGAAGAGCAACCGAGAACUAUUUCCAAGUUAUCCUUCACUUUGAGGUCUCACUCCUAUCCAUGUAGGCUAGAGUGCAGUAGUGCAAUCUUGGCUCACUGCAGCCUCGACUUCCUGAGCUCAGGUGAUCUUCCCACCUCAGUCUCCUGAGUAGCUGGGACUCCAGGCAAUGGUCAGGUGGAGUAAAACAUAAGGAAGAACAUCUUUUUGGUUCAAAGCAUGAAAAAAAUUGGGUAACACACCUUCCUUACAUCUAGCUGGGCCAUUGAACCAGAAUAUGCCAAUGUUUAAAACACUGAAAUGCCAGCUUUUCUCUUAAAGGACAGCAUGGAGGUGUCUGAUUUCUGCUUGG
rnacentral:lncRNA from 10 species